CUACGGGGCGCUCCAGCAGGGAAUAUUGCACAAUGGAGGAAACUCUGAUGCAGCAACGCCGCGUGGAGGAUGACACUUUUCGGAGCGUAAACUCCUUUUAUAUAGGAAGAUAAUGACGGUACUAUAUGAAUAAGCACCGGCUAACUCCGUGGCCAGCAGCCGCGGUAAUACGGAGGGUGCAAGCGUUACUCGGAAUCACUGGGCGUAAAGAGCGUGUAGGCGGGUUAAUAAGUCAGAAGUGAAAUCCUAUGGCUCAACCAUAGAACUGCUUUUGAAACUGUUAACCUAGAAUAUGGGAGAGGUAGAUGGAAUUUCUGGUGUAGGGGUAAAAUCCGUAGAGAUCAGAAGGAAUACCGAUUGCGAAGGCGAUCUACUGGAACAUUAUUGACGCUGAGACGCGAAAGCGUGGGGAGCAAACAGGAUUAGAUACCCGAGUAGUC
rnacentral:rRNA from 1 species